AAUAGGGUGGCUGAAGUCAUAAGGCAUUAGAUUGUAAAUCUAACUAUGAAGUGUUACUUCCUCUAUUA
rnacentral:tRNA from 1 species